CGACCUGAGAUCAGGCAAGAUCACCCGCUGAACU
rnacentral:rRNA from 1 species